CGGGGUGUGGCGCAGUUGGUAGCGCGCCUGGUUUGGGACCAGGAGGCCCAGAGUUCAAGUCUCUGCACUCCGACCA
rnacentral:tRNA from 1 species